GCCCAGGUAGUUCAAUGGUAGAAUAUCGGAUCAACAAUCUGAUGGUUGUGGUUCGAGUCCACAUCUGGGCG
rnacentral:tRNA from 1 species